AAUCUCAUUGCAAGGGGCCAUUCACAAAUACGUGACGCUCUUGGGGAUAGGGGGUGUUUGAUCAGGAUCGAGUCACAUAUCAAACACCCCCUAUCCCCAAGAGCGUCACGUAUUUGUGAAUGGCCCCUUGCAAUGCGGAUUCAUACAUUUCA
rnacentral:miRNA from 1 species